CUCCAAUAGCGUAUAUUAAAGUUGUUGCGGUUAAAAAGCUCGUAGUUGGAGUUCUGCCAGGUGCCGCCUGUCCGCCCCAGUGGUGAGUACGUGGCGCGCAUUGGCCUUUCAAGGGGAGCGUAUUGCACUUAACUGUGUGGUGCGGGAUCCUUGACUUUUACUUGAGGAAUAAGAGUGUUCCAAGCAGGCUCUCGUCGUGC
rnacentral:rRNA from 1 species